rnacentral:lncRNA from 1 species
CAAGUCAUUAUAGUUCUCUCUGUCUCACUCGUACGACAAAUGGGCGAAGAAAGAUUGAAAAUUUCUCAGCUUUUUCGGGUAAGUUCUCUGAAUCGUUUGUAUUCCACUUCACCUUUGGCACAUGGUUGAGAUUUCAGACGUAGCGUAAGUAAAUCUAACUUCGUCAGAAACAAACAAAUCAAAUAUAAAUACAAACGGUUCCUUUGACAUUCAGAAUUUGUAAUUGAUGAUUGAAAGUAAAAUAUCUAUCUAUUUUGGACAAGGACUUGAGACUUGUUUUGUUUGUUCGUAUUAAGAAAAUUUUAGCUGCUGAAUCAAUUUUGAAGACACGAAUUUAUCAUCUCUGUCAGCUUUCCAUUUCUAGAUAGUUGUUAGCUUGGGAUGACUUGGUUUCACUUACAAAGCAAUCAUUUUUGCAAAUACAAUCUUUCAACUCUGUAAUAUCUACAUGUCGUUGACAUAUUUCUACAUGCCCCUAACUUAUCUUGCUCAUCUACUAAAAAUGCCAAGAUUAUUAGCUCUUUUGUAGAUCUCUGAUGAGGAUAAUAAUUCCGCUUUUAAGGUGAAAUGAGUUGCUUCAUUAAUGUAUCAGGAGUUUGUAACCCUCCAAGAGCGAUGAUGAGGACGAUUCUUCUCCAUCUGUGGUGCCCUGUUCAUGCUGUUGGUUAUCGUUUUCUUCUAGCCCGAGUUCGCUUUCCAGGUGCUUGAACCAUUUCUCAAUUUCAUCUCCUUCAGACUCUUGAGGAGCCCUUGAACUCCAACUGUUCUCAAGAUGUUGGAAUGAGUCUGAACCAUCUAUGAAACUCCAAAUGUCAUGAUCUAAAUCAAAAGGUAUCUCCAGCAGCUCUGGUUUGUCUACCUCUUGUAACAUCCCUGUAAACUCGCUGUAAGUUUGAAUAUGCUCGAACGCUUGACUUAUCUGUGCAUCAUCUUCUUCUCUGCUUGAAAUGUUGGAGCCAGCGAAAGACAUGGAGGCAUUAGGAGAUGACUCUUGAGAGGUCUCAGCUUCGUUCAAAGAAUCUUUUGAAGCCGCUUCAUCGGCAUUAAGGUUAGUAGUGUCUGAGCUCAAUCUUUUCUUGAGAUGUGUAUGCCACACGUUCUUGAUCUCAUUGUCUGUUCUUCCUGGCAGUUUAGAAGCAAUCUUCGACCACCUGUAUCAAAAAUGCAGAAAAACAAGUGUCAAAAUUGGAACUUUGAGCCACACAAGGUAUAUUAACAAGAUGAGACAUACUUGUUCCCAAAGCUCUGGUGAAGUUUAAUGAUGGUUUCUUCUUCCUCUGCGCUGAAAUUGCCACGUUUCACAUCAGGUCUGAGGUAAUUAAUCCAUCGUAGACGACAGCUCUUGCCACACCUUAACAAUCCUUCAUUGCAUUUGCAUGCAUAGAUAGAAUCAGAACCAGAAGAUUAGAAAAUCUCAAGAAAAGUAGGAUCUUUAAGAUCGGGG